rnacentral:tRNA from 1 species
ACCUGGCUGGCUUAACUGGAAGAGUGUGGGACUCUCGAUCUCGGGAUUUUGAGUUCAAGCCUCAUGUUGGGUG